rnacentral:tRNA from 1 species
GUCCCAUUAGCUCAGUCUGGUCAGUAGCACCCGUCCUAUGAGCGGGGGGUCGGCAGUUCAAAUCUGCCAUGGGACA